rnacentral:tRNA from 1 species
AAGAUAUUAGUAAAAGAAUUACAUAACUUUGUCAAAGUUAAAUUAUAGACUUAGAUCUAUAUAUCUUA